CACACUUUCUUCUCUAUUUUAAAUCGAUCAAACUCUCCAAAGCAGUUCCUUUUCUUCUGACGUUGCAGUUCAAUUUUGUCAUCCUAGGUUAGGACAUAUGAAGCUUUUCCUUCAAAUUCAAAAGAAUGGAGGAAAACUAGAUGAUGUUCCUUUGCCUAUUACAAGGAUCUAAACAUGCUACACCGAUAAAAUUGAUCGAUUUGUCGAAAGUGAUCCUAUCAACCAAUUGAGAGCCUUAGAGGAACAGGUAAUUUCAUGAUGGGAAUUGUUAGCCAUGAGAAGUUUGAAGAUAUUUUGUGAUUUUCUUUCUCAUAUGUAUAUCACACUGAUUUGUUACCCAUUAAAAACUUUAUAAUUCUCUUGUGGA